rnacentral:rRNA from 1 species
UACGUAGGGUGCAAGCGUUGUCCGGAAUUAUUGGGCGUAAAGAGCUCGUAGGCGGUCUGUCGCGUCUGCUGUGAAAACUCAGGGCUUAACCCUGAGCUUGCAGUGGGUACGGGCAGACUAGAGUGCGGUAGGGGAGACUGGAAUUCCUGGUGUAGCGGUGAAAUGCGCAGAUAUCAGGAGGAACACCGGUGGGCCGAAGG